AUUGAACGCUGGCGGCAGGCCUAACACAUGCAAGUCGAGCGAGCGGCGGACGGGUGAGUAAUGUCUGGGAAACUGCCUGAUGGAGGGGGAUAACUACUGGAAACGGUAGCUAAUACCGCAUACCAUCAGAUGUGCCCAGAUGGGAUUAGCUAGUAGGUGGGGUAAUGGCUCACCUAGGCGACGAUCCCUAGCUGGUCUGAGAGGAUGACGAGCGAGAGUGGAACGGAGACACGGUACAGACGAAGACGGGAGGCAGCAGGGGGGAAUAUUGCACAAUGGGCGAAAGGCGGAGGCAGCCAGGCCGGGUGUAUGAAGAAGGACUGUGGGUUGUAAAGUAAUUUAAGCGAGGAGGAGUUACCCGCAGAAGAAGCACCGGCUAACUCCGUGCCAGACGACGCGGUAAUUC
rnacentral:rRNA from 1 species